CUGCGAGUGAAGAGGGAAGAGCUCAUCAUUGGAAUCUGGCAGCGUCUCGCUGUCCGAGUUGUAGAUGAGAAGAGUGGGCCAUCUGGACUGCAUGGUGUCCAAGUACAAUAGGCCGUCAGUGGGACAUCAUAGAGGGUGACAAUCCCGUCCUUGACACCAAUGUACGAGUCCUUUUACGAUGCCUAUCUCGGAGAGUCGAGCAGUUUGGGAUUUGCUGCUUAAACAUGGGAGGUAGAUUCCUUCCAAAGCUAAAUACAGGCAAGAGACCGAUAGAGAACAAGUACCGCAAGGGAAAGAUGAAAUAGAACUCUGUGAAGGGAGUCAAAAGACGUGAAAUUGUUGCGAGAGAAGCGAUUCAAGUCAGCGUAGCUGGGCCCAUCAAGCCUCGCGCUUUGGACCAGCUUUGCCAGCGGUCUUGUCCUAGAGACUCGACUAAGGUGCCCUGCCCGGUCUGACGGGCAGACCUUCCCCCCUGGGGGAGGCCAGCGGCACGGCUGGUGGAAUGGCUUGCAAUCGACCCGUCUUGAAACACGGACCAAGGAGUCUAACAUGCAUGCGAGUAUAAGGGUGGCAAACCCGUAUGCGCAAAGAAAGUGAUAGCCUUUACGGCUGUGAAUGACCUGAUGACCAGACAAGCGAUAUCAUGUCCCUCGUACGGUCAUUGCCCAAGUCCCGUGGUCAGAUCCCAUGGACAUGGAGUUGGAGCGUGCAUGCUAGGACCCGAAAGAUGGUGAACUAUGCCUGGACAAAGCGAAGCCAAAGGAAACUCUGGUGGAGGCUUGUAGCGAUUCUGACGUGCAAAUCGAUCGUCUGAUCUGGGUAUAGGGGCGAAAGACUAAUCGAACCAUCUCAUAGCU
rnacentral:rRNA from 1 species